AAAUGGCAGAUCGUGAUCUGCUUAUUCAGCUGGUGCAGCUGGUGCACAGCUAGCCCUGAUGAUAAACCAGUGCUGAAAUCUGACAGUUCACCGGACAGGACUGUGUAGUUGAGCUUGAUUAAUUAUAAUACAAAUGAACUUGAAUAGCCAAAUGCAAAAGAUCUCUUCUGACACAGAGGCAUGAAAAAACAUAAGCAUUGAGAAAAACAAUGUAACAUUCAUAACUACACUGGUUUAGAUUCCAUCUUGCAAAAUGGUAAAAUGAUUGAGUAUGUUUAGUUAUGUACUGUGCCCAAGCAAACUGCACAUUUAAUGAUUAAAGAAAUAUAUCAAUGUUUGUGUAAAAGUUUUAUUAAGUAAAAAGCUGCAAAGCCUCUGGACUUUUGGUCCUGAGACAGUUGUACUGGCAAUGAUGAUUUUGUCAGCAGUACAAGGCUGCCAUGGUGCCUCUGAUAACUACCUCAGUCACAGUAUUGAUACUGGUUAAAGCUAUUGAUCAGAAUUGCUGAACAAGGGAGAUACAGACAAUGAAGAAGGUCAAAAGCUUAACAGGAGUUCUCUGCCAUUACAAUUGCUUGUUUUUAACUGACUGCCUUUAAGGUAUUAUUUGAAAAAGAAGGCUCAGAUUUUAGGGAUUGGAAAUUUAGUGUUUUGUUAAACAUGUGAAAGAUUAUUGUUGCUGUUUUUCAUAUUCACUUCUUGAUUUACGGUUAUCAACGAAGUAAUGGCAACCAAGCAAGACUCUCCAUUCAGGACUGCAAUACACAUUUCAACUUUCUGAUCUCUUUGAAGACUGGUAGUCCUCAGAUGCUUUCAGCUAUAAAGAUAGUGAAAUGCAUUUCUGGCUCAAAGUCCACAUCAUUACACUUAUAUUUAAAUAGCUUUGAAUAUGAAAAAAAAAAAUUACAAAAACAUCUAACCGCUAUCAUGACGCAUUAGAAGAAAAUGCAUGUCUACAAAACUCUUGCAAGAUCACCUUGUUCAUAAGCCUUUUUUAGGCUUUAAAAGAUUUCUUACUUAUAUGUGGAUGAGGAGAGAUAUAUAUGCUAGUAUCUCGGGAGUUUUUUCAAAUUGCAAUGCUAGUUUUAUGACAGUUUAGUGCUGUUACAUAUUAAUAGCAGAAUAUAUUACUCAGAAAAAUCCUAAAAACAAGGAAAAGAAAGUAAAGAAGCCCUUGAUAUUCACUAGCCUAUCCAGAAAUCAAAAGACCAAUUUUCCUAUGUGGAGAUAUAUUUCUCUUGUGUACACAUAGUGUAUAGAAAACACCAACGUGUUUUAAAAUUCUAUGAAAACUAUCGUGGAUAUAAUUAAAGAAAAAAGAUAUAGAGAAUUCUAUAUUUGAAAAUCAGCUAAAUAAGUGCAUCACAAGAAGAUAUUUUUGUAAUGCAUGAGGCAUCUGUACACUACAAUUGCUGUAUUGAUUUGCAAAUGUCAUGAAGUUAAAAGAAAGUCUUUAUUGCCUUCUACAAGUGACAUUAAUUAUUUAAAGUUUAUGAAGUGCUUUGGAAUGUAACUUAUUUACUUAUUUGUAAAUACACUAGAUAAAUGUUAAAUAGUGUUACUAUAAAUUUGCAAUUACAAAAGAAAUCUAAUGUUGUCAUUUUAUUUAUUUGCUAAAAUGACAGCAACAAGCUAAGUUUGUUCUCUUGUGGAAAUGGUUUUAUGUUACAUUCCUACUGAUUUUUUAUUUUUUUUUAGUCAUUAUGCUGAGCUCAGGAAAAAUUACCUCUGCACAAAUGUGGAGCUCUGCAAGCAUGCACCAAAACUAGAACCUUUUAUAACAUGUGAGGAAAUAAAGAUGUGGGUGAGGAACUCUGAGGAAUACUAAUUCAUCAGAGCUGUCAGUGAACACCCCAAGUAUUUCUGGAGAAGCAGGGCUUCAGGUCAACCUUAUACUCCAUGUCUCCAUCUAUACUCCAUCUAGUACUAUCUACAACACUCAGGAAAACAAGUUACUACACUAUACUAUGGGUAAAUUGGAUUUGUACCAAAAAAGUAUUUUUAUUCUUGUGUUACUGCUAUAAUUUAAAAAAUGCUUCCUCUUUUUGGUAGCAGGCUAAAGGACUUAAUGAGGAUUCAGAAGAGAGAUUAUCUCAGAUAGAUAAAGAUUGUCCACUAGCACUGUCCCAAGAUUUUGUGUUAUUCAAAAAGUGCGACUAACCCAGUCCACAUAAUUUUUCAUGUUACUGAAAGAGACAAAUGGAAAAUUUUGGAGGUGAAAUCCCAAUGAAGUGAAAGGCAAAACCCUCAAACAACACCACUACUUUACUAGAGUUCAAAAGCAGGUGGAAAAAAAAAAAGUCAGAAAAAGGGGGUCUUUUUGCAGUUCUCUUAUCAUAAAAAAAAGUUUAAAAAGUACUUGCAGCCUUGUUGUACAUGUAGUUCCUACAAGCAUGCCUUAAAUUUGGACCAUGUAGUUGAAAGCAAUUUCCCAAGAACAGAAAGCGCAUAUCACUGAAUAAAUAUUUUAGUUUCUCCCUGAGUUUUACCAGUGGAGAAAACCAUCCUGAGGUUACUGUGGACCAGUGAGGUUGAGAGGACUAACAAAGUUUCUGGAGUUGUUUCAGCAUUUAUGAGUAGUCCUUGCAUGCAAAAUCUGCAAAUCAUCAAGUGGAUGAACAUCACCAUUAAUAAUCCAGAAGAUGGAGGAACCAGAUUGUCAAUAAUGUUUAUGGGAGAUACUGAAGCAGAGAAGUGGGAUUGACAAGAGUUUCAUAUGUCUUCUGUUCUCUUGCAAAACCAUGAAGUACAACUAAUCGAAGGACUGCUGCUGCUUCUGCCUUAGUCCUCCUUAGUGCUUCUGUUUCUUUGUGCCAUCUGCAGAGCUCUAAAGCCUGCACCACAGACAUAUUUUACCUGUGAUCCUUACACUCUUGGUCUUCUUGACUGCUAGACUUGACAGCCCAAGCUGAGAUUCCCAGCAAAAUGUACUGGGUGAACCCCAAACCUCUCUGUGCCUCUCCUCACUUUGAACACUGGGCUCUGAGAUUUUUCUCUGGAUGGGUACUCAGUGAAAAAAAGCCACACAAUAUGUUAACUGUAGAUUGAAAAAGCCUUAAUUUGUUGUAGUGUUCUUGAAAAAUACAGUGUGAAAGACAGCAUGCCUGAUACCUCUUCUUAGUAAUCUAACCUUAGCAAAUCAUUGAUAACAAAAUAUUUUACCCCCCCCAAAAUAUUUAUAACUACUAGAAGAAUUAGGAUUUAGCAGAGACAACAAACACAAAAAAAGAGUUAAUUUGAUACAGAUUCUGAUAGGAUUAAGAAUGGAAAAACAUUCUUAUUUCCUACUACUGUAACUGGAUAAUUUCUGGGACAGAUUUUUGUAAGAUAGAAUACAUACAAAAUGUAAAGGCUGCCAGUAGAACAUGCAGGCCUUCAAGAUGAAAUAUCUGUUAGCUCUGCCUCUCUAAAGAAGCAGACAAAUGAACUAAAAUAUGCCAUGUCCCAGCUCAUAAGAGGAGCUCAAACAAACAGGAUAGUUUCAGCUGUAAACAAAUCUGUUCAGCUGAUAAUUGAUUUUAUGAAAAGGUAUAUACUAUGAGGGCCUGGGAUUUGGUCACCCAAUCUGAACAGGAAAAUAUAGCAAAGAAAAAUGGCUACAUGCUACCUGGAAAUGAGAAAAAAGAAAUCUUGAUAUUUAUGAAAAAAAAAAAAAAGGAAGCAUGGAAACUUGGAGUUGUUGUCAGAGAAGCAAGAAUGACCUGCUGAGGAGAACGUCUGCAUAGAAGAGAAUUAAUUAUAUUAAUUUGUGCUAGGAAUUCAAACAGUCCUGGAAUUGUGAUUGAAGUGGUUUAAAGGGAAAGAUACUGUUUGGAACUGAAUCAUAUACAUCAGAUUUGUUGUUGCUAUAAAUAAUUUGUAAAAGAUUUAUCAAUGCAUACUUCAAGAUGUAAACAUUUUCUUAAGUCAAAUGGUGCUUAUGAUUGUAAAGGUAAUAGUAUUAGUAACCAGUACAACUUAAAGAGCAGCCUUGUUGGGUAUUGAGAUGUCUUUAUCAGACUUGCCACAGAGCAGUUGUUUCCAUGUCCUUCAAGAAAACUGGCAGAAGGUUGCUAAGACAUAUACAAAAUGUCAAUCUGAAAAACUCCUUUGCAAAGACCAGAAACAUGGCUAAGACCGUGCAUAUGCAGAAUAUGAUAUUUUUUAAACGUGAUCUCAAACUACAAGAUAAAAUAGAAGACCUGCGAAAGAUGGUUCAUUCAGUUGUUAUGGAGAAACUCGACUGGAUCAGCAUGAAUGGAAUGGAUCUUGGUAUUCUGCCAACAUUAGAAAAUUAAAAAAUUACAAAUAUCACGGUGCAUGUAACACAAGUUCUCUGAAUGACUAAUAGACUUAAGAAAAAAACAUCUGUGUAUGAUGGGUUUUGUCACUAUAUGAACCCCUGAGAUUUGUAUGACAUUUCUUCUGCACCGUGUAAAUUACCACCAACUUGUUUACACUUCUUGAUAAAUUAUUAUUUUUUCUGGAAAAAAAAAAGGCGGCAAAACACUAUCUAUAUGAAAAUGUCUACAAAUAUACUAAAGAAGUAAUCUGUUUGUUCUCACAAACAGCAAAAAAAAAGCUAUAAAAUAUGCUGCAUUUUAUAAAUAAAAUAAAAUAAAAUUAAAAAUAAAAAAAUUAAAAAAAUAAAACAAAUCACUAGUGUCAAUCUAUAUAUUUUUACAAAGUACACAAAAUAGAAGAAAAAUUGUAAUAUGCUAUAUCAACUGAUAGAGUUAACAGCUGCGAUGUGAUCUGUAUAAUUAAUACAUUGUAAAAAUUGCAAGCCUACAAACUGUAUAUACUAUGAAUCCUAAAGUAAAGUAGAAAAAAAAAUCCUGUAUUUUACAUGGUAAUCAGUGGAAACACUUUAUUCUGAUUGAAACAUGAGAGAAUAUGUUUCAAAAAGUGCAGUACUUUAGGGAGUAAUCAAUUAUUUAUUUGAAAGAUAUCUUUCAUAUAAUAGUUACAUGCCAGUUGUUAGGAGUUAAAAUGAACAAUGUAACCAUAUCUCAUUGUUAUAAAUUUGAAUAAAUCAUUGUAAAUUUAAUAUAAGGCACAAAAUACAAAAAUUUUAAGGGCUCAUAGCUUGGUCAGAUUUACUUGAGUUGAUGAAUACAGAGAUAAUUAAACCCAUUAUUCAAAUUAUAGAGGAGUUUUAGUAUCUUAUGAGAAAAAAGGUACUAAGUAAAAAUAUAAAAAAAUAGGUCUUCUGCAAACCCUAAAUGAGAAGACUCCAUCUAUUCAUAUGGAAAUGAGGGAAUCUGUUUCUUUAGCCACAUCCUUCUGAACAUCUGACUAUGCCUAACACUGCCCAACAAUACCAGCCUGGAACAUAAUUUCAUUUUUAGCCAGAAUAUUUUUUUACUGUCUAGUUAAUAUUUUCUUACAUUUCACCUUAACCUGUAACUUAGCUUAAGGUUGUGCAUUCUCAUCUCCAUUACUUUUAAUAUUCAAAGGUAUUUUUUAAAAUUACUUCAUUUUGACACAUUUUUAAUGGCUCAACAGAAAACAUAGAAUUAAUCCAAAUAGAAAUACACACAAAUCAACAUGGAACUUACUAAAUUUGUGAGAGGCAUACCAAUAAAUGAUCAAAUGAGAAAAGGAUGCAAUAAGAAAAUUUUCACUGCCUCUGAAAUAGAUCACUUUAUCCACAAUUUGCAGCCACAUGAUUAAAAGAACAGUAAAUUACUGCAAUCAAGAUGAUGAAUAUUUUUUUCUGAUCACUAAUUAUGUGCAGUUGAACAAGAGCAAGAAUUGAUGCAGUAUAACUCAGAUGAAAUUUUUACUGAUUGUAAGUUAUUUAUUUCAUUGGGUAAGUUUCAACAUUAAAGUAAAAAUUUGGUUUUCAAGUGGAAGAUUUUAAUAUGGUAAACCUGAUGUUACUCUAACCUCUAGGAGAUGCACAGCCAUUGGAUAAAAGUAAACAAACACAAAUUAGGGCAACAGAAAUUCUGAACACCUUCAUAGAAAAAAAAAAUUCUCUGAUGUCCAAUUCAAACCUACUCUUUUUCCAGUUUAAAAGCACUGCCCUUUGUCCUAUCCCUACAAGCCCUUGUCUCUUCAUCUUUCUUACAAGCCCCUUUAAGCCCGCAAUAAUGUUGCCCUGGAGCCUUCUCUUUUCCAGGCUGAACAUACCCAGCUCUCUCAGCCUUUCCUCAUAGGAGAGGUGUUUCAGCCCUCUGACCGUUUUCCUGACCCUUCUCUGGAACUACACUAACAGGUCCAUGUCUCUUGUGCUGGGGACCCCAGCUCUCACCACAUCAGAGCAGACAGAGUACAAUCACCUCUUUUGCCCUGCUGGCCACAAUUCUUUGUAUGCAUCCUAAAACAUGGUUGGGUUUCUGGGCUGCGAACACACAUCUUCUCAUGUUCAAUUUUUCACCUCCUAGUAUCCCCAAGUUCUUCCUUGCAGGACCGCCCUAAAUCCAUUCAUCCCCCAGCCUGUAUUGAUAUUAGGGAUUGCCCCAACCCAGAUGCAGGACCUUGCGCCUGGCCUUGUUGAACUUCAUGAUUUCUGCAUGGGUUCACUUCUCAAGUCUAGCAAAGUCCCUCUGGAUGUCAUGCCUUCCCUCAAGUGUAUCAGCUGUACCACUCAGCUCACUGUUAUCCACAGACUUACUGAUGGUACACUCAAUCCUACUGCAUAUGUCAUUAAUAAAGAACAGUACUCAUCCCAAUACUGACCCCUGGGGAACACAAUAUAAUAAAUUAUUUCUGUCAGAUCAGAAACUGGUACUCUGCGGAAUCAUUACAUGAGAAAAUUGUAACCAGUAAAUGGUGAAUGAAAAAUAAGUUAAUUUUCCUUUUUGACCUACUUCCAGGUUAUUUCCAGAAAUAAUGAUCUGAUUCAAUUGACAUUGAAGUCAAUGGCAAGAUUCUGACUAAGUAAAUAUGGGAACAUGCUGUCAGAUCACAUGCACCUGUGAAAAGCAACUACGUCCGUAUUUCCUUUAGUUUUUAAGUGUCUUCGUGCACUUUAAAACUUUGUAUGGAUUCCCAGGUCCAUGGAAGAUGCAGCUAUAUAAAGAUUCUAAUGGCAGCCACAAAGAGAUCUGGUUUUGCAAACUAAAUGUUUCAAUCUGCAAUACCCAUUAAGCAUACAUUGUUCUUCAGUUUCCAGCUGCGCGUCCCAGCGAACCUCUGAGUGUGUAAACUAAGCUGUUUGUUGAAUGUAUAAGAGCUGUCUUCAGCUUGAGUAGGGUCUGCUGGACUUAGAGAACAAACAACAAACAGUGCCUUCUGUCUGUGGAACUUUCCAAUAGCAGUUGUG